rnacentral:ncRNA from 1 species
UUUUUGGACGGGAAAAUAGAUACAAUUUACCGUCUGGUCCAUGGCACUGUUCCCUCAAAGAAAAGCAUUCGUGCAACACCAUACUGUACAAAGGGCAUCUGAAAAUGAGGGAUGGGGACUGCCUUGGCCAGUCAAGCGUUCAUCGCGACGUUGCUUUUUGAUCCUUCGAUGUCAGCUCUUCCUAUCAUACUGAAGCAGAAUUCAGUAAGCGUUGGAUUGUUCACCCACUAAUAGGGAACGUGAGCUAGGUUUAGACCUUCGUAAGACAGGUUAGUUUUACCCAACUGAUGAAAUGUUGUUGCGAUAGUAAUUGAACUUAUUACGGGAGGAACCGUUCAUUCGGAUGAUUGGUAUUUGGGCCUGCCUGAGCAUGCAAUGGCCCGAAGCCAUCAUACGUUGGGUUAUGCCGGAACGACUCCAUGCCAGACCGUGCUAGAACGCGAAGAUUACCACCUUUCGAUUUUUAGUUGAAUACGAAUAGACCUACCAUCCAGAAUCAUACGAACGUGGGGUUGUCUUGCAGAGCGGAGAGGCUUUGUGACAUUUCCACUAAUGUUAAUUUCAAAUAUUGUCAAGGAUAAAUCCGUUGCAGACGACUUUAAUUGAACGGGGUAUUGUAAGCAGUAGAGUAGCCUUGUUGCUACGACCUGCAGAGAUUCAGCCCAUUGUUCUAUAGAUUU